UCUUUGGGUUCCUUAGUCCUGUAUAAGUAUCCAAGAUCUUCUCGGCGAAUAACCGAUGUGGGAUAAAACACAUGCCUGUAUGGGUUCUCACUUUCUUCGUUCAAGCUUUGAUGUCCUCACCAGGCUAUGGGUUCAAAUAUGUUCAAAUCUAUUCAAAUCUAAUCAUAUGCAUCAUGAUCGGUUCAUGGUCAGCUUUCAUGAAACCGUCCUGCAGUAUCCUCUAAUCCACAUAGGCUAUUGGCCGAGUUCGCUUUGAUACCAUUUGUAGCAACUUAGGACCUCACCCAAAAAGGCUAGUCGGAAGGUAUUUUUUGAGUUGCUUGGUCCUGUAUAAGUACCCAAGAUCUUCUCAACGAAUAACCAAUGUGGGAUUAAAUAUGCCCGCAUGGGUCAUUACGUACUUCCUCCGUUCAAGCCCUGACGUCCUCGUUAGGGUAAGGGUUCAAAUCCAUUCAAAUCUAAUCACAACUACCAUGAUCGGCUCGUGGUCAGCCUCUAUGAACCCAUGCUGCAGUGUCCCCUAGUCCACAUAGGCUAUGGGUCGAGUUCGCUCUGAUGCUAUUUAUAAUAAUACAGAACCUUACCCAAAAAGGCUAGUCAGAAGAUAUUAUUUGGGUUCCUUUAUUCUGUAUAAGAAUUCAAGAUCUACUUAGCGAAUAACCAAUGUGGGACUAAACACAAGCCCAUAUAGGUCCUCAUAUACUCGUUCAAGUCCUGAUGUCCUCGUCAGGCUAAGGGUUCAAAUUUAUUCAAAUUUAAUCACAAACACUACAAUUGGCCCGUGGUUAGCCUCAAGGAAUCCGUGUUGCAAUGUCUUCCAGUCCACAUAAGUUAUGGGCCAGGUCCGCUCUGAUACCAUUUGUCACAAUCCAGGACCUUACUCAAAAUGGCUAGCUGGAAGGUAUUCUUCGAGUUUCUUAGUCCUGUAUAAGUACUCAUGAUCUCGGCGAAUCACCGAUGUGGGACUAAACACAUGCCUGCACGGGUUCUCAAAUAUUCCCUCCAUUCAAGCCCUAAUGUUCUCGUCAGGCUAAGAGUUCAAAUUUAUUCAAAUCUAAUCAUAAGCACCAUGAUUGAUCUGUGGUCAGCCUUCACGAAUCUGUGCUGCAGUGUCCUGUAAUCUAUGUAGGCUAUGGGCCGAGUUUGCUUUGAUACCAAUUAUCACAACCCAGGACCUCACCCAAAAUGGCUAGCCGGAAGGUAUUUUUUGAGUUUCUUGAUCCUGUAUAAGUACCUAAAAUCUUCUUAGCGAAUAACCGAUGUGGGACUAAACGCAUGUUCAAUGGUUCCUCACAGAAACAGCGAGUUACUAUCAUUUGUGAGUUUCCAAGCAGGCACAUCCACGAGUUUCGACGGUCUGAAAGCCUCAAGAAGCUGGACCAGGUCUUCUUCCUGCUUCGAUUGAAAAGGAGAAAUGGGUCUGAAGAAAUUGAGGCGGCAUUUUUGUCUUCUCCGACUCCAACAUGAGGCCACUGAAGAGUUAGCUUGAACCGCUUGAUCAUACAGCUUGUGGAAGAGAGAGGCUUGAGGAAUGUUUCUUGUCCAAGCAUCCUUCUAAAAUCUGAUGUUUGCUCCAUCCCCGAGCUCGAAAGAGAUGCAAUUCCAAAGUGCCUUAAGAUCCUUGCAAAUAUCUUUCCAAAUUGGCGAGAUGCGGCAAAAAGAUCUUUUGACUUUGAAACCGAACCUUCCAUGGGCAUAGUGUGUAUUCUUAGUAAGUCUCAUCCACGAUGCCUCCGAUACUUUCAAGAAUUUCCACGCCUACUCCGAUAGCAGAGCAUAUUAUGGUCACUAAUGUUUUUGAUGCCCAAACCACCUUCCAUCCCAAUUGACUAAGCAAUUGAAACGGCUGAUUGACUCUUUUCCUUUCCAUAGAAAGGAUCUUUUCAUCUGAUCAAUUCGGUUCACAACUAAUGAGGCAGCUUAAAGCCAGACAUGGAAUAGAAAGGAAGAGCUCUAAGAACGGUGCUGAUCAAUGCGAGCUUGUCCCCUCCACUCAGGAAUUUACCUUUUCAAGCAGCAAGUCUGGAGCAAACCUUUUCAAUCAGUGGCAUUGAACAAUGCCUAGAGAGCCUUCUGUCACUAAGAGGGAGGCUGAGGCAGGUGAAUGGGAAGGAACCCCUUUCGCAGUUCAUCAAUGUUGCAAGUUGCCUUGCCUCCUCGUCGUCCAUGUAAGGCAAAUCAAUAAGCUGUUAUAAAUAUUGAUCUUUAGCCUGGAUGCUUGCUCAAAGCCAAGGAGUAAAACUUUCACUGCCACUAAGCACUCCUUUGUUCCAGAGCAAAACAACAAAGUAUCAUGUGCGAAAGGAAGGCUUCUCGGAUUAGAAAAGCAAGGCUCAGAACCAAUACCUUUUAUUAAACCCACAGAUCUGGCUUGCUUGAGCAUUCUAGCAAGCACGUCAGUAAUGAGGAUGAAGAUUGGGGGUUGACAUUAUCAACUUUGUACAGAGUCCCUGUGAUAGGAAGAACUGGAAGGGGGUUAAAAUUAGAUGUGUUGGGAGUGAUCAUAAAUCUAUAAUGAACCAAGCAGAAGUGAGGCUUAAGAAUACUAGGCUGUGAGAAUUGGGGUUUAUCCCAAUAUUCAAACCCCUCUGUCUAAGAGCCAGUUGUUCUCGAGUUGAGGUGGUGCAUCCCCAAGUAUUUGAACUCUGUUAAUUAUAAUCGAGUGGGUCUACCUCCCUUUCUCUUGAAAAGGAAAAAGAACAGAAAAAAUAAGACUGUAUCUGAACAUAUUUGGCACAUUUUAAAUAAAGUUGACAUUGAAAAGAUUGUAUGAACCUCAGCUGUUUCUAUGACAAGUUAUGCUGGUGGACAGGCCCUUUCAAUUUUUGCUGUUUGCAGACCAUUUGGAACCUACCGCACAACAAUAGUCUUUAGAAUCUGAGAAAAAAAAAUCACAUUUCCAUUGUUAAAAAAAAGUUAGCUUGAUUGCACUAUUACAUGUUCGAAGCAAUCGGGAAAUCUGAUGCAUCUGGAUUUUUUCAGGUUGAAUGGCAAGUAUUUCAGCACCAGCUCUGAUCAAACGCUCAUGUCAUAUAUAUCCUUUCAUUAUUUGUCAUUUGAUGGAGAGCAAUGUUCCCUAUCAAGUGUCAUUUCGUAUUCUUCAGAUGAGCCAAAGAGAUCGGCAGGCAUAUGAUUCUACUAUUGCAUCGGUGACUUUGGAGUCUCCUCAAUCUUACCAUAAUGUUUUCAGAAGCUUGUAGAGCCCCAGAUUGGAGGCAGCCCAACUAUCUUAAUUGCACACUAUAAUUUCUCCCCGGUUGAUAGUCACUUACAGCUGUAGUUCGAGGCAAGGUUUUAAUAAUGGUGGGAAAGAAGGGCGUUACACUCUCUCAUGUGGGAUGGGAACAGUUAGGAAAUGGACCAAGAUGGGAUGAAACAUCCACUGUUUUAAGUAUCGGUAUGCAGGGUGUCCCAUUUUUUUUGGGUGGACGUGACAGCCCGGCCUAUGGUAUUUAAAACCUUUGUUUCAGAGACAGAAGAGUAGGUGGUUAGUGCACUGUUGUAAGGGCCUCAAUAAGGCCCUCAGAUUUGGUGGCCCCUGGUAUCUUCUGUCCUUACAAUGCAGAUGCCCAGCAUGCUGCUGCUUCUGCUGCCUUUCCUUUUUUUUUUUCUUUUUUUUCAAAACAAUACAGAAGAAAGGGGUUUAGGCAUGAGAAUUGCUGCUUGAUGUAUAUAUUUUUUUAAAAUGAUACUGGUUUGGCCAA